GCGCAACCCUUGUCCUUAGUUACCAGCACGGUUAUGGUGGGCGACUCUAAGGAGACUGCCGGUGACAAACCGGAGGAAGGUGGGGAUGACGUCAAGUCAUCAUGGCCCUUACGGCCUGGGCUACACACGUGCUACAACGGUCGGUACAAAGGGUUGCCAAGCCGCGAGGUGGAGCUAAUCCCAUAAAACCGAUCGUAGUCCGGAUCGCAGUCUGCAACUCGACUGCGUGAAGUCGGAAUCGCUAGUAAUCGUGAAUCAGAAUGUCACGGUGAAUACGUUCCCGGGCCUU
rnacentral:rRNA from 1 species